rnacentral:sRNA from 1 species
UCAAGAGUAUUUUUCACACUUUACAUUUCCUGUAGACGUUAUAAAUCAUAUUUCCUCAAUUAUAACAGAAGCUCCUAAAUCCCUCAUGGCACCUAACCCAGUGCUGAGAAGACUGCAGUGGAAAUCCUGACUGCUCGUCAGAAGAAAGCAGAAGAACUAAAGAGACUCACUGACCUUGCCAGUCAGAUGGCAGAGAUGCAGCUGGCCGAACUCAGGGCAGAAAUUAAGCACUUUGUCAGCGAGCGUAAAUAUGACGAGGAGCUCGGGAAAGCUGCCCGGUUUUCCUGUGACAUCGAACAGCUGAAGGCCCAAAUCAUGCUCUGCGGAGAAAUUACACAUCCAAAGAACAACUAUUCCUCAAGAACUCCCUGCAGCUCCCUGCUGCCUCUGCUGAAUGCGCACGCAGCAACCUCUGGGAAACAGAGUAACUUUUCCCGAAAAUCAUCCACUCACAAUAAGCCCUCUGAAGGCAAAGCGGCAAACCCCAAAAUGGUGAGCAGUCUCCCCAGCACCGCCGACCCCUCUCACCAGACCAUGCCGGCCAACA